rnacentral:lncRNA from 1 species
GGUUAAUCUAGAGUUGUAAAUCUUACAUGUUUGUCUCUUUUACUCAUGUGAAUGCCAAAAAUAAGGAGAAGCUUAUAGAAGUGAUAGUCAAGUACCUUAAGAUGUUACCUUUCUUGAAGAGUGAUGGUACAGUAUUACCUUGUGGAAGCUUUCCUUUCUUAGCGGUUGUGCAUCGUGUUUGUGGCACCCUCCAUGGAUCAUCUCUUGUGAGCUAUGCCUUCCUUGUAUAAAUUGUUAAACUUCAUGUGUCUCUCUCUUUGUCUCCAAUGUGAGUUUAUCUCAGGACUUCCCAGGUCGAUAUUGAAAGUUUUCCUACAGGGGUUAGUCCAACAAAAUAUCCAAUAUCUACUAUAGCAUACUAUCAGCUCAAAGAUCAACCUAGACACCAUGUCUAAUUUGAUUUAGGAGGACAUUUUAACCUAAGCAUCAUGCUUAAUUUAAACUCCCUUGGAAGUA